CUGCUGUGAACCUUGUUAGAAAUUCCAGGAACCCCAUUGGAAGAUGUUCAACACCCUCCUGAGGAGGAUCCCAUGGUUUCUCACAAGGAUGUAAUGCCAAAUGGGAUUACCUCAGAAAGGUAUUAUUCAUGGACUUUAUCAUAUCCACUUAAAUGAAGAGUAUCAACAGGGCCCUGCUCAACUUUUCACAAGGUAAUUAAAGACCCAAAAGAGUUCUCUCAGCAGACAGGAUCUCCUCUCUCUACAGGGCAUUCCAUCAACAAGACAGAAAGCAAGUCCCUGAGGCUAUAGGCACCUUACUGCUGUUCUGUGAAAUUCCCACUUUACCAAUGGCUCCCUAGGUGGAUACAAGAAAAGAAAUAUCAGAAUCAUGGAGAGAGGGAAGGAAGAAAAUAAUGUGGUUUGGAGAACAUCUUGAGACUCUUCCUCUUCCUCACCCAUAUGGAUUAGGGUACGCCUUGUUGGAAUUGACAUUUUCACUGGCAGAAAACAUGAAGAUAUCUGUCCCUCUACUCACAACAUGGAUGUUCCAAAUAUUAAGAGAAAUGAUUAUCAAGGUGCAGUUCCCUCCUUUUUGAGGUUUCCAUUCAUUAUCCUUUGAAGGACUGGAUUUGUGGAAAGAUUAGACAUGGUUGCAGUGUGGUAAGAAACAUCAUUUUUUCAUCCACAUGGAGCAAAUAUUUCAUGUUCCCGAAUUCUCCAUCUAACAUCAGCAACAUAAAGAAUUAGAACAUGGACUCAGCAGCUGCCACAGUGGGAGGACAUGGACCCCUGGCCAUUGUGCUCUGGCGGAAAGUUCAGUGGCUCCUCUUCUCUAGGAGAGUAUUAUAGGAUAUGUUAUCCAUAAUUGCGGGAAGGGGCCAAAGUUCAUAUCAAAUAUUCCCAUUCGUACCAGAAAAAUCACACUGGUCCCUUAGGGAUAAGAUUUACAUUGAACUACAUAUUAACUGUAGUGAAGAAUCUGUGCUCAUAGUAGCUUCCGUUUUAAAGUAUUCUACUGAAGAUGCCAUGUACAAAUUACAUCCUGCUAAAACAGCUCAUCUCUGUGCUAUUAAAAUGAAAACCUCUAUGAGGAAUCACUUAGACACCUACACCUUAUCUGUCCGCGUAGCCCCUCAUGUGCUGUGGGAUCCAACUUGCUGAACUCAUGAUUUGGGAGUGACCUCCCAAAAUAGCAGGGAAAAAUGAAACAACUUCAACAUAUAUCUUUUCACAAUGGAAAUUUCCUCAUGACUGAAGAAGUUGCUGGUCAUUUUAUUUUAAUGUUCCCUUCUACCUCCCUCUUAACCACAGCAGAAGAGAUUAUUACGAGAAACAACUUCAGUUUUAUAUUUAACCAUAUUGUUACAUAGUUUCACUCACUAUAUUUAUUUUAUGUUGUGUAUUACACAUUCUUAUCU